CCCAGUGCGAUUACAACCUCAAACUGGAACGCAGCAGAAAGUUAUAAUUUGUUUAAUAGUUUAAUAGUUAUAAUAGUUUAAUAUGUUUGUCAGGAAUAUUAUUUCACGGAUGAAAUAAAUUUUAUACAUAAAGUGCUGUAAGGUUCCUCAUUGAAGAACUGGAGCAGAAAUAUGAACCCAAUACGCAACAUAUUACAUUUUUACGAAAAUCCGUCAUCUUCCAGCUACAUAAUGGCGUCAUCUUCAUGCCUUAAGUGCCCUAAAUUUGCUACAACUUCACAACGGUUUUAUUUUCUUGAAGAUCAAUGGAACCUUCCAUCACUAAUUCCAUUUUUUCUCAUCGGACUUUCCCUGCGAUCAGUGGCCUGCAAAACAAUUUACACCAACGCUUCUUCACUUGCAAGAGCGCCUCAAUUUACGGACCACCCCUUGGUCAAGACAUCAUUUCAUAGUUUUACUACGUCAUCAAGUUCCUUCUGCAACAAGUAAUUUCUUAUCGAGUAUUUCGACUUAGGUAGGUUAUCUAUGUACUUCAUAAAUAGAAAUAUGUGGGUAUACUCUAAAUAAGAAUCAGUGAAAUUUCCUUAUGGUUGAAUAUGUAAAAGAGGGUGGCACAACCAAAAUGUAAAAGCUCACUACCCAUUUGACCAGAUUUAUAAGUUUGGUCGUUUAUUUAUCUUUAUUUAGAGUGCAUUUCUUUAUCUGAAUUAUAACACCUGCAUACUCAACUGUUUAAGCUGUCCAUCAUGAAAACUUUUAAGAGAUAGGUACAUAAGUGCACGCAUAUUUCUUCUGAUUCUAUACAUACUUGAAAUUAAAUUAUAUCUUGGUUAAUUUUGCAAGCAAAAUUCAAAAAGUUAGUAUUGAGUAACAAUUUUCAAUGCAGGGAUAUCUAGACAAAAAAAUUUGGUUUUCUGAAGUCUUGGAGUUUGUGGUUUGUAGCUGAUUUUUGUAUGUGUAACGAUGUCCAUGGUUUUGGUUUAGUCCGCACCUUGCGAGAGGAGCGGGGGGGGCGAAAGUCGAAACACACGGAAAUUAGGCAGCGGAUUUGUCCAUAAUGGAAAAAAUUAUGGAACUGCUGCAAGCACCAAAAAGUUCCUAGCUUUUUCUCCACAGAAUCCCUGUAGCGUUUUUGAAAUUCGAAAUUCAAAUUUUUCUAACAUUAUACUUCGAGCGAGUAACAAUACGUAUCUUUCGGUGAUCCAAACAUUUCCAUUUCUUUCUCCAUAGUGACGAAAUCCGCAGCCGAAUUUGCGGGUUGUGGUUAUUCAGCGGUAAUUUACUGAAGUAUGGUCGAGGCAUUAUAAUUAAGCACGUUUCGGCAAUUCAUUGCAUAAAAUUAGUUAAAAGUGCUGGGAUUCGUGUUGAGUUCAUAAGUAAUACUUGUGUUUUUAUUAUUUCCUUCUCUUUCGAGACUCCGGAUGGUUGACCGGGGUUAAAAUCGCGCUUUUCCAUGCUCCCGUGUCUCGUUUUAGGAUGACCAAACCGUACGCGUCAUUUCUAACAUUUUCUUCUUUCAUAAAGUGUACCUACGUAAGAAGAAAGCAAAGAUUAAUGAUGCAGAUUGUAUCAUGGUUAAGCAAUUGUAUUAUGAUGGAAGGACCAGGGAUAAAAUAGAAAGUACGAUGUUUUAUAGGGACCUGGAUAGCAAAGGUAUGAAUUAUUACAGGUUAAAAAGAAGUUUACGAGCUGCAUAAAAUUCAAGUUGAAAACAUUUAGGGUAUAAGCAGUCAGGAUUAAGUGUUUCUAUACCAGCUAGCGCUGGAACGGUAGUUGUGGACAACCCCGUACAGUGUGCGGAGAUGGUCGUGCAAAAGCCGACGGAUGUGGGAGGUUCAUCCUUUACGAAUGCUGAAGCUGAAAUUUGCUUAUGGGCGGAGGUUACUCGCCACGUGCGGUUUAGUUAUGGCGUGAGAUUUCCUGCCGUGGGCAUAGGAUAUCCCUGCUCUUACUGCGUAUACUAGGAAUAUAAGAAUUGCAACAAAUCCUUAAACCUGUUGUUGUUGUCAGCGCCCAGUUGAUAAAAAUUGAUUAAGCCUGAAUACAAGCUUUUUGUCAGGGACAAAUAUAUUUUGAUCAAUCCUUCACCAACUUGAAAAGAUACGCCGUUAUAGGGGUGAUCUUUCUGGACAUGGCGAUCUAAUUCAUAAUUGGUAUGGAAUUUUUUCGAGCACUGAGGACAAGUCUUAUUGUUGCACAUGGUCAUAUCGGGUUCUUCACGCAAGCGUUUCGGGGAUGGAGGAGCUUCUUUACUUGGUCGUUUGUUGCUGGAAAAUGUUAGAAACAAUAUAAACUAGAGGUAAACUGAGACACGGGUAAUCUGAGACAAUUGGGGUAAUCUGAGACAAUUGGGGUAACCUGAGACACCGGGGGUAAUCUGGGAUAUGUCCUUCAACUUGUUGUUGAUCGCAUCCAGUUCGUAGACCUUGAUCAUGCCUGACUACACGUUUCUUAUCGUAACAAUUGUUUACCAGAUACGUAGCAGUGAAAAGUGCUCAAGGCAGCAACGACUGCCAAUCUCUCUGUAUUGGAUAAUCUCGUUUGACAUUUCGCUAGAAUUUUACUUGCAUAGCAAACUGGGUGUUCUUUCAGGCUGUAAAAGUGCAGAAGCGAUUACAUGACUAGAUGCGUCUGUAUAAAUGUGAAUAGGCUUUGACUCGUAGUUGAAUUUGAGUAAAGGUGGAUUGGAAGUUGAUAUUUGAUUUACCAGGACUCUCAUGAGUAACUAAAAACUUUGAAAUUAUGUAUGAAGAAGUCAAUCGUGAGUAUAAAUUGUAUUUAAUAUAUAGUUCUUGAAAUAUAAAAAUAUUUGUUACCUAAUGUUAAGACAAUUU